UUUUUCCCAUUUCUUGGGCCGCUCCCAUGGCAUAUGGAGGUUCCCAGGCUAGGGGUCUAGUCGGAGCUGUAGCCGUCAGCCUAAACCAGAGCCACAGCAACAUGGGAUCCGAGCAGCAUCUGCGACCUACACCACAGCUCACGGCAAUGCCGGAUCAUUAACCCACUGAGCAAGGGCAGGGAUCGAACCCGCAACCUCAUGGUUCCUAGUCGGAUUCGUUAACCACUGAGCCAUGACGGGAACGCCUAUCCUUCAUCUUUGUUCUACUUUGGGUCUGUGUCUGAUGCCACUAUCACUGGUCCAAGUUACUUUUUUUUUUUAAAUACCCAUGGCAUAUGGAGGUUCCCAGGCUAGGGGUCGAAUCAGAGCUACAGCUAGCAGCCUACACCACAGCCACAGACAUUUGGGUUCUUAGCUGUGUCUACAACCUAUACCAUGGCUCACGGCAAUGCUGGAUCCUAAACCCACUGAACGAGGCCAGGGAUCGAAUCGGCAUCCUCAUGGAUACUAGACAGAUUCGUUACCACUGAGCCACAACGGGAACAAAAAUUUCUUAAGUGAAUUCGAUGUUGUGUCAGAAAGUGGGAAUGGGACUGCCUGAUGCUACCAGGAAACCCAAGGGAAUAUUUUCAGUCCUCCAGGAAGGGUGGAGUAUUGUAGAAUGUUCCCUUUCUAUACUCCAGGCAAAUCUUCAAUUUUUAUAAGGCUGGAUUUUGCCUAAAUUGUCUAAGACUAAGAAAAGUUCUAUAUCAAAGGAUUCUCCCAUCAACCUCUUGGAGAAACAAGAGAGUAUGUGUGACUCAGUGUAACUCAUGACUGCAAAGGAAAAGUCGGUCCAAAGUGAGUAACAUCCUUCUCGUUCAUGCUUCCUCAUACCCCAAGGUUUGGGAUGUUGCAUAGGUAAUAGCCACUGUAGUACAACAGAAACUUAUUUUACCAAGAUGCACCCCCUUAAGUUGUUCACUGUCUUAUAUGGGCUGGGUUUGCAACGCCCCUAAAAGAUUAUAAUAGUAAUAUUUUGGAUCACUGAGCACAAAUCCCUGUAAGAAAUAUAAUAUGAAAACAUUUUAAAUAUUUUCAGAAUGAACAAAAUGUGACACAGAGACAUGAAGUGAGCACAUGCUUUGGGGAAAAAUGGUGCUUAUAGACUUGUUUGCUUGAUACAGGAUUGCCACAAACUUUUAAUUUAUAAAAAAUGCAGUAACUGCAAAGUGUAAUAAAAUGAGCUAUGCCUGUAGGAAUAAAUCUAGAGCCAGAUAUCAGCACUUCAUGUUUAUAGGUCUUAUAUAACUAUAAUCCAAAUCAAAUUUACAAACUUAUUAUAUAAAACCUAUAAGACCAAUAGAGCCCAACUCUACAAUACUUGUUUAAUGCUGGCUUGUUAAAAACCAAAUUACUUUUCAUGUACAACCACUAUGGAAAACAGUAUGGAGGUACCUCAGAAAAGUAAACAGAAUUACCACAUGACCCAGCAAUCCCACUCUUGGGCGUAUAUUGGGACAAAACUUUCAUUAAAAAAGAUACAUGCACCUGUAUGCUCACUGCAGCACUAUUCACAAUAGCCAAGACAUGGAAACAACCUAAAUGUCCAUUGACAGAUGAAUGGAUUGAGAAGAUGUGGUAUAUAUACACAAUGGAAUACUACUCAGCCAUAAAAAGAACAAAAUCAUGCCAUUUGCAGCAACAUGGAUGGAACUAGAGACCCUCAUACUAAGUGAAGUAAGUCAGAAAGAGAAAGACAAAUACCGUAUGAUAUCACUUGUAUCUGGAAUCUAAUAUACAGCACAAAUAAACUUUUUCACAGAGAAGAAACUCAUGGACUUGGAGAGCAGACUUGUGGUUGCUUAAGGGGGAGGGAAAGGGAGUGGGAUGGACUGGGAAUUGGGGGUUAGCAGAUGCAAACUGUUGCAUUUGAAGUGGAUAAGCAAUGAGAUCCAGCUGUCUAGCACAGGGAACUAUGUCUAGUCACUUGUAAUGGAACAUGAUGGAGGAUAAUAAAAGAAAAAGAAUGUGCGUAUAUAUACGCAUACACACGCAUACACACACACACACACACACACACAUGACUCAGUCACUUUGCUGUACAGUAGAAAUUGACAGAAGACUGUAAACCAACUAUAAUGGAAAAAAUAAAAAUCAUAAAAUAAGAAAGUUACCUUUUAUUACGUGAAUAGGUACUUUGUAGCUACCACCUGCUACGGAAAAAUGGGUCCUUUCAUGAUCAUGCUCUGUCUUCCUGUGAAUUUGGGAAACACUGGAAAGACCAGGGCUGUUGAGGCUCAGUAACCUUGGACUUGAAUCCUUGCUCUACCAGUUUUGUAUGUGGCCUUGGGGAAGUCAUCGAAUCUUUCUGGGCCUCUAGUUCUGUAUUUGUAGAGAUGGCCUUCACUCAUUCAACACAUAGUACUUAGCUGAUGCUGUCCUAGAUGCUGAGGAUGUAGCUAUGAGCGAGCUGAGUACUUGCCUUUAUAGAGCUCACGGUGUAGUCAGGGUGGAGAAUGGAGGGAGAAAAAAUACACAUAAGGUAAUUUCACACAGUGAUAAGUGGUAUGAAUAAUAUAGGACAAUGGGAUAGAAAGGCAGAGCUGGUACUUUAGCCAGGGGUAAAUCUCUCUGGUGAUAUGUGGUCUUUGAGUAGAUAAACAAAUGGUGAGAAAAAACGGAAGUGUGAUAAGCCAGGAGAUGAGAGAAUGAGCUUGUUGUCCCUGAGGGGCUUGGAAAACUAGUGUGAUUAGAGCACAGAGGAGGAAAUGAUGGGGUCUACCUUGCAGGGUUGUUCAGGGAUUACAUGAGCUAAGGACAGGAAGCGCCCAGCACAGAGUAUCCAGGCAACAAACAGCAAGUGUUACCUGUAUUACAGGUUAUAAAUGCACAUUUUGUAAUUUAAAGAGUUAAUCUGUUCCCAAAAGGAAAGCUUUGUUUAUCUCACAGAGAUUCAUUUCCCUUUAGAAAUAAGGAGAGAAGCUAGCACGUUGACUUUCAGUAAUCUGCUUUGCUGACGUUCAUUCUCUGUAAAAUUUUUCUCUGUGAUGUCUAUGGUAUAUUCUCAACAAUCGCAUGAUACACAUUAUUCAUACCAUCAUAGGAUCUUUGCUCAUUUAUUAAAGCUGGUGAUACUUUAGAGGUCAUCCGGCCUCACUCAUUUUUCUAAUAAGCAAGAUACAGACCAAGGAGGUGAUGUGAUUCAAGACAACAGAAUCAGUGGCAGAGCUGGUACAAGAUCCAGGUCCCUGGGCUCUUAAUUGUCUCUUUUUUAUUAUCUUAAUUUAUUCUCUGUUUCUACUAUCCCUCCCUCAUCAUACCCUGGCUUUUUGUUUCUACUAUGAUUAGCAAAAUGAUACUUAGGUAUGAUUAGGGUUGUACACAAGCCAGGGCUAUGACCAGAAAUUUAAAGACUUGUAGGCAGAGGACAUCACUGUUAUGGACUAAAUGUUUACGUCCUCCUCAAAUCCAUGUGUUGAAGCCUUAAUCCCACAUAUGAUGGUAUUUGGAGGUAGAGACUUGGGGAAGUGAUUAGGAUUAGUUGAGGUCAUGAGGAUUGAGUCUUCAUGAAGGAAUUAAUAACCCAUAAGAAGAGACCAAAGAGCUUGCAUGCUCUGUCUCUGCCAUGCGAGGAUACAGCAAGAAGGUAGCCAUCUGUAUGCCAAGAAGAGAGCUGCACCAGAAGCUGAACGGGACAGUACCCGAUCUUAGACUUUCCAAUGUCUACUGUUCAAGCCACCCAGCCUAUAGUAUUUUGUUACAGCAGCCCAAGCAGAUGAAGGCAGGCCUUUUCAUUGUGACUUUGGGAUACGCUACACUGUUGGAUAUUUACUAGGGGGAACUUACAAGGUCUUUGAUGACUUGUCCCAUUCUGAUGAAAUACAUCAAUGCCGGAGAAUCAUUGUUGAAAUAGAUGGCCUUGAUAUAUGCUAAAACGUAGGACUGUUUCGUGCUUGUAAUUGAGAAGAGGAUCUUUUGCCAGUAAUUUUGUUCAUGAUGUAUGAGUCAGAGGAGAAUACAAUUCUCUUCUAAAGCUAUGCUAAAGAUAAAAUGCCGACACUGGGGGGAAAAGGUUUUGUCAGUAAAUAAAUACAACACAGACACAAAGAAUUGAUGUAUAUGGUAAUAAUUGCACUCUAUUACUUUUACAAAGUCCUCUGGCUUACUGACGCUUAAGAAAAUAUACUACUAAAUAGCCCCUUGAAAGGGAUGGAGUAGUUGAGAUAUUGCUUUUCAAAAUUUAGACUCAAGGGCUCUCUACAGAUUUAAAGAUGCCUGAGUGUGUAGGACCAAAUUCCUACCAAAUGAAAAAUAAAAGCAAUUUAUGUGCAUGCACCGGUUGACAAUUGCACAUUCUGUUUUUGUAUCCUAUUACAUGUGUGAAUUUGUAGAAUAUGCGUAGUAAUCCUUCAAUAUUGGGAUAAUGGGAAAGACACAUAUGGAGUUGAAGACGCCUACAUGCUAAUCUUUUUUUUUUUUUUCUUUUUAGGGAUGCUCAUAUGGCAUAUGGAAGUUCUUGGGCUAGAGGUUGAAUCAGA
rnacentral:lncRNA from 1 species